rnacentral:rRNA from 1 species
UACGGAGGGGGCUAGCGUUGUUCGGAAUUACUGGGCGUAAAGCGCACGUAGGCGGCUUUGUAAGUUAGAGGUGAAAGCCCGGGGCUCAACUCCGGAAUUGCCUUUAAGACUGCAUCGCUAGAAUUGUGGAGAGGUAAGUGGAAUUCCGAGUGUAGAGGUGAAAUUCGUAGAUAUUCGGAAGAACACCAGUGGCGAAGGCGACUUACUGGACACAUAUUGACGCUGAGGUGCGAAAGCUAGGGGAGCGAACGGG